rnacentral:tRNA from 1 species
AGGGGUAUAGUUUAGCGGUAGAACGGCGGUCUCCAAAACCGCAAGCCGGGGUCCGACUCCUCGUACCCCUGCCA